UCCUGGCUUAGGACGAACGCUGGCGGCGUGCUUCAUACAUGCAAGUCGAACGAGAAACUGGCUCGGUCAGUGGAAAGUGGCGGACGGGUGAGUAAUAUGUAGAGAAUCUGCCCUAGAGAGAGGGACAACAGUUGGAAACGACUGCUAAUACCUCAUAUGCGCGUAGCUGAAAUGCUAUUCGUGAAAACUCCGGUGCUCUGGGAUGAGUCUGCAUCUGAUUAGCUUGUUGGCGGUGUAAUGGACCACCAAGGCGACGAUCAGUAGCUGGUUUGAGAGGAUGAUCAGCCACAAUGGGACUGAGACACGGCCCAUACUCCUACGGGAGGCAGCAGUGGGGAAUAUUGGGCAAUGGGAGGAAAAUCCUGACCCAGCGACGCCGCGUGAACGAAGACGGCCUUAGGGUUGUAAAGUUCUUUUAUGUGGGAAGAAGGAAGUGACGGUACCACAUGAAUAAGCCCCGGCUAACUACGUGCCAGCCGCCGC
rnacentral:rRNA from 1 species